UUAGAUAAAUGAGGAAUAUAAAAUAAAUGAUUGUUACGAGUGUGGUGGCUAUUAACUUUGAAAUAUAAUUGACUUAAUAUAAAUGAAUCAUCAAUCUCAUUAUUUAGCAAUUUGGUGAGGAACGUACUGUAUGGUAAGUGUCUCCGUGCAUUUAAAGAUUCUAAGUUUAACAGUUUUAAAAUAUUAUCGUAGCCAGAGUGAGGAGUUCGUUGAAUAUUACAUGUAUGACAUAANCUUAAUAUAAAUGAAUCAUCAAUCUCAUUAUUUAGUAAUUUGGUGAGGAACGUACUGUAUGAUAAGUGUCUCCGUGCAUUUAAAGAUUCUAAGUUUAACAAUUUUAAAAUAUUAUCGUAGCCAGAGUGAGAAGUUCUUUGAAUAAUACAUGUAUGACAUAAAAAUCUGAGGGCCUUAUUUUAAACUUUAUCAAGUUGAUCAUUAUGUCCUACAUUGUUAUGAUUCCAAAUUAUUGGAGCGUAUUCUAAUAAAGAACGGACUAGUGAGGUAUAAAGGCAUUUGAUAGCAAGUGGAUCACGAAAAUCGGAGCAGUUUCUUUUUAUCACACCAAAUACAGAUAAAGCUUUAUUUUUAAUCGCUGAUACAUGAUCAUUGAAUAAUAGUUUGGAAUCAAAUAAAAUCCCUAAAUCUUUAAAUAAUGACGAACGAUGUAGGUUAAUGUCACAUAUAUGAUAAUUAAAAU